UGGCUCAGAACGGACGCUGGCGGCGUGCUUAACACAUGCAAGUCGAACGCGAAAGGGACUUCGGUCCUGAGUAAAGUGGCGCACGGGUGAGUAACGCGUAGAUAACCUGUCUUCAUGUCUGGAAUAAUACGCCGAAAGGGGUACUAAUACCGGAUAUUCUUGCUUUUCAUAAGUUAUGCAAGCAAAGGUGGCCUCUGCAUAUGCUACUGCAUGAAGAGGGGUCUGCGUACCAUUAGCUAGUAGGUGGGGUAAUGGCCUACCUAGGCGACGAUGGUUAGCGGGUCUGAGAGGAUGAUCCGCCACACUGGCACUGGAACACGGGCCAGACUCCUACGGGAGGCAGCAGUGAGGAAUAUUGCGCAAUGGGGGAAACCCUGACGCAGCGACGCCGCGUGAGUGAGGAAGGCCUUCGGGUCGUAAAGCUCUGUCAAGAGGAAAGAAGUGUACAAUGGCUAAUACCUGUUGUAUUUGACGGUACCUCUAAAGGAAGCACCGGCUAACUCCGUGCCAGCCGCCGC
rnacentral:rRNA from 1 species